rnacentral:rRNA from 1 species
CCUACGGGCGGCUGCAGUGGGGAAUAUUGGACAAUGGGCGCAAGCCUGAUCCAGCAAUACCGCGUGUGUGAAGAAGGCCUGAGGGUUGUAAAGCACUUUCACUAGGGAGGAAAACCUGCCGGCCAAUACCCGGCAGCUUGACAUUACCUAUAGAAGAAGCACCGGCUAACUCCGUGCCAGCAGCCGCGGUAAUACGGCGAGUGCAAGCGUUAAUCGGAAUUGCUGGGCGGAGGUUGUUCAUGGGCGAUGGGAAAGCCCCGGGCUUAACCUGGGAACUGCAGUUGAUACUGGGCAACUAGAGUUUAAUAGAGGAGAGUGGAAUUUCAGGUGUAGCGGUGAAAUGCGUAGAGAUCUGAAGGAACACCAGUGGCGAAGGCGACUCUCUGGAUUAAAACUGACGCUGAGGUACGAAAGCGUGGGUAGCAAACAGGAUUAGAUACCCCAGUAGUC